rnacentral:lncRNA from 1 species
CCAGAGGCCUCUUCUAUGAAGGGCACUGUAGAAAAAAGGCAUGAAAAUCUGGUAAAGACUACAAUGCAAUUGAGUUGAACUGUUAAAGCAUGGAUGAAAAUCAAAUUAAACUUAAAACAAGGAACAAAUAAGACUUGAUUUAGAGUGAUGGUAGGACUAAGAACAACAUCACCAAUUAGAGUCACCCUAACUUUGUAACCAUUUGGUAAUUACACUAGAAAGGGAUAUAUCAAUGGUUUUGUGUUAAUGAGGAUUUUUCUGUUGUGAGUCAUGUGGUUUGUUGUUCCAGAAUCAAGGAUUUAAGUAUAAGAAUUCGAUCUAGGCAAUUUACUACAUUGAUUACCAUGUUCAAUAGAAGUUGAGCAAGCAAUAAUUCUUGCAAAGUUUACAGCUCCUCCAUUUACAUCGCCGUUCAAAGUUGAAGAUUCAUCUGCAUUAAUACCAAUCUGCAAACUACCUAAUAUCUUGACCAUUUAUCCAUAUUGUUCCUUGGUUAGACGUUGCAUUGCUCUUUUAUGUUCCCUUGGUCUACAUUCAUUCUUUCUUGUGUUAAAACUUUCACAAUAUAGAUUUGCCACAACUUGUUUUCCUUUAUUAUUAUUGUAGUUAUUGUACCUGGGAGCCUGUGGAAGAGGAAGAGAAGGCCUUGUGGGUAUCCAUGGAUCUUGGAACAUUUGUCUUUAGUGUGCCCAGG